AUUGGACGCUGGCGGCAGGCCUAACACAUGCAAGUCGAGCGGAUGAAGGGAGCUUGCUCCUGGAUUCAGCGGCGGACGGGUGAGUAAUGCCUAGGAAUCUGCCUGGUAGUGGGGGAUAACGUCCGGAAACGGGCGCUAAUACCGCAUACGUCCUGAGGGAGAAAGUGGGGGAUCUUCGGACCUCACGCUAUCAGAUGAGCCUAGGUCGGAUUAGCUAGUUGGUGGGGUAAAGGCCUACCAAGGCGACGAUCCGUAACUGGUCUGAGAGGAUGAUCAGUCACACUGGAACUGAGACACGGUCCAGACUCCUACGGGAGGCAGCAGUGGGGAAUAUUGGACAAUGGGCGAAAGCCUGAACCAGCCAUGCCGCGUGUGUGAAGAAGGUCUUCGGAUUGUAAAGCACUUUAAGUUGGGAGGAAGGGCAGUAAGUUAAUACCUUGCUGUUUUGACGUUACCAACAGAAUAAGCACCGGCUAACUUCGUG
rnacentral:rRNA from 1 species